GCUGAUUUUAAGAAGCCUCUUGUCUUUCUUUCUUUCUUUUUAUUUAUCUAAAAUUCUGUGUAGUGAUGCUUUCAAGAGACUAGUAAAAGCACCAAUAAGAAUCUGUGGUGAUCGACAGAUCGAAAGAAUUCAUUCGUCUCCGACAGUUAAGUUCUUUAAAAAAAAAAAAAAAAAUCUGCUCUGUAUUUGAUUUUCCUGAUCUGUUAUUUCAUCUGCUUGUUUUGCUUUGAUCCAUCUCGUUUCAUCUAGAAAAAAUAGAUUUUUUCCAUUGUUUUGAUGGAUUCAUGUGAAUUUCACUUCGGUUAAUUUUCACCAUACAACUUGUUUUUGUAUGUUAUGUAACAAGGAACAGAAGGUUUGAGAGAAUGUUAGCCUCGCAUGACGUGUCUGACUCCCACCAUCAGAAGCAAUCUUCCUUGGUUAUGGUUUCUCAAAGGCAUCAGUCCUGUGGCGAUAUUGAAGAAUGUAGCUCAAGUGACAAGAUAUUCUGACCAAAACCAGCAGCAAUCUUCUAAGAUACAGCAACACUCCUCAAUAUAAAAUGCAUCAAUAAGAAGACAGGAGAGUAGUACAUGGAAGGGCCCAAGGUUGAAAAGUACAAGGAGAUGCUGAUGAAGAAAACUCAAGAUCAGGGCACCCAGUUUAUUUCUUAUGACCCAGUCAAAGGGGAGUGGAAGUUCAAGGUUGAUCACUUCAGCCGGUAUGAAUUCUGCAAGAUUGAGGAUUCAUGUGCAUGCUUCAUUUCAAAUUGCAACUUAUGUUUGUGUAGCAUUUCAGAUUGCAAGAAAUAAGACCGUUUUUGCACACUGAAGUAGAUAAAAGAGGCAUGUUUGUCUUGCA